rnacentral:lncRNA from 1 species
CUAACUUUUUAGACAUCGUAUUGAAACGUGUGAUAGAGAUCUAACACGUGUUUCUACCAAAUCUCCACGAGCUUAGACUUAUGGCAGUUUCGAGAAACUAGCACUCGCUCUGAAUCUGGCGCAUCCACGGCCACGCUGGAAGCUCGGAUCUGACCGCCUGCGAUGCAUGCCCCGGACGCGACGGCAGCCCGCUCUCGAGCUAACUCUCCAUCGUAUCGUGCAGCUGUCUUUCUUCUCUUUCACGAACACGGUUGCCCGACUGAAACAACUAGACCACAUUAGUAUCCUGACAUCAAGAUAGGUCUCUAUUAUGUGCCCAUCCGUCUGAUUAAGUCUUCUUUGGAGCAAACUGUCAGACAUUUGCGGUAGUAUACAGCUGAAAUGGAAUUUCCGUUCAACCAAACAGUAUACUUCAAGGCUAUUUCUCAGCGACGAGGGUUAGCUCCAGGUAGCAGUAGCAGGCUGGAAGUAACACACAUGUGCAGUGUUUCAGUCGAAAACGAAUACCACCCAUUCAAAAUCGGUUAUAGGAUCUUGUCCAUAUGUCCAUAUUUUUGUAUGCAUGUGAAACAUGGACCAUGACAGCAGACAUUAAAAGAAGGAUACAGGCACUGGAGAUGAAAUGUUUCCGCAAACUCCUCAGUAUCUGGUAUAGAGAUCACAUAACCAACGAGGUAGUGAAAAUCAGAAUUGGAAACACCAUAGGGCCGUAUGAAGACCUCCUGACUUCAGUGAAAAGAUGCAAAGUAAAGUGGUAUGGGUAUGUCACAUGAUCAUUUGGACUGGCCAAGACUAUUCUACAUGGAACAGUACAAGGAGGGAGACGAAAAGGCAGGCAGAGGAAACGAUGGGAAGACAACAUUAACGAGUGACCUUGACUGAAACAUCAUACUUCGUAAAGCCAAGAACCACGAGGAGUGGAGGAAGCUGGUAGUAUAAAUCUUCAGUGGUGCCCCAAGGGUCAGCCAGACUGUGGGAUAGGUGAAGGUGAAGGUGAAGGAAGCUAAGAAUCAGAUAGUUAGACAUUAUAUUGGAUCAUUUAUCCUUUCCUUCAAAAGGAAUGUUGCUUUAUACUGUAGCACAUAAACAAUGCUUUUUUAUUGGCAAUAUUUCAGUUCAGUACGCUUGUUAUUAAUUUCAUCAAACAUUAAAAUGUAAAAGGGAGAAACACUGUCAUUUGAAAAUCAAAAUGUAAGUCAUAAAAAUUUCACUGUCUAACUAUCUGAAUCUUGUCAGGAUCCAUGUACGAGUUAGUGCAAUUCUUUUCUCUUCACUACAACCGCAUUGAUUUACUUUAAUAGCAUGUUACUAGGUACAUCAAUUGAUGAGAAAAAGCAGCAAAACGCUUUAAAUUUGUUGUAGUCUUAAAAUUAAAGUUGGAAGUUUCCUAAAAAGGGAAUUUUAGAACACUCCUUCAACUGACAUGCACGGAUGUUAUACUUAUGAAUUUCCAUACAUUAAUGUCUUUGUAAUGCAUGUUACCAAACAAAAAAAAGUAUCAUCAACCAUUCUUGUCAUUUCCUGUGCAAUUAUUUUCACAUCCUGGCUUAACAGUACAUAAACAGUGCUCUUUUAUUUUCAAUAUUUCAGAAAAAUGCAUUUGCAUUAUGAUACAUGCAGGUAUAGUUGGUCAAGUAAGAAUAUAUUUACAGCAUGCUCACUAUGAAUUGAUUAAAUCGCCAUUGAAUCUAAAAGGUAUGUUAUACCUCAUUGUAUAUUCAGAAGGAAAAAGUGUGAGGAUAGCUUUAAAAAAAAAAAAAAUCAUGAGUAUCCAUAAUGAUGUGAAUAUGUACAUGUUUGUUUGUUGCAUAUGAUUCUUCCUUGGUAUCAAAGCUGUAAUAAUUGCAUAUUUAUGAUUCAGCAUAAUACUUUGUUCAUUACAAAAAAAAAUAUGUCAUAAUUUUCCAAAACGGUAGUGUAAAGAAUAAUGUAAGAUUGAGGUAAGAUUGUUACAUAUAUUCUCUAUACGUAUCAACUAAAAUGUAAGUUUUCAAAUGAGAUACUAUUUUGUCCCCAGAUGAAAUAAGUAAUGGAUCUUUUUUGUUAAAUGUCAGCAAAUGAUCUAAAUGAACAUGUGUUCGGGUAUAUCAAAUCUUGUACAUGUAGUUUCUAUAGCUAAUAUAGUUUGGAGGACUUAAAGAUAGAAAAACUGCUGAUUGAUUAAUUACCAUUGUUUGUAUUGUUCACUAUAACCAGCAAGUAAAGGGACAUUUAGUAGAUGCCAAGAAAGUAUUUCCAAAGCAAUUACAUUUCUCUUAUCCUGUAAUGUAUUUUUUGCGUCAAUAAAAGCAAAUGUGAGGGUUGUCCACAUAACAUCACAACUACAGAACAGUUUAAUUGAAAUUAACAUACAUAUUACAUGUAUAUAUGUGUAUUAUGGAAUAACUUAGAAUAUUUCAUAAUUUGUUAUUAUUAUCCAGUUCAUUACAUUUUUACCAAUGUAUUUCUUCAAUAUUUCUACUUUUCCUCAGAGCAUAUGCUGUGAACUAAUGGAUAUUCCUUGUCAGUUCCAUCAUGUUAUGUCAAUGGGCUUACACUGUAUGCGUGUACAUGUCCUUUUUGCAAUGUACAUGUGCUACGAAAAUGUCAACAAUAUUGUUUGAGAUAUAAAAUAUAGAGUUAACAAGUGAAUUAUUCA